rnacentral:rRNA from 1 species
GAACGCUGGCGGCGUGCCUAAUGCAUGCAAGCCGAACGGCCUGAUUAUCAGGCAGUGGCAGACGGGUGAGUAACGCGUAAGAACUUACCCUAAAGUGGGGGGACAAACCUCGAGAAAUCGGGGCUAAUACCGCAUACGCUCCGCAAGGAGGAAAGCUACGGCGCUUUAGGAUGGGCUUGCGCCCGAUUAGCUAGUUGGUGAGGUAAUGGCCCACCAAGGCUCAGAUCGGUAGCUGGUCUGAGAGGAUGAUCAGCCACACUGGAAUUGAGAUACGGUCCAGACUCCUACGGGAGGCAGCAGCAGGGAAUAUUGCGCAAUGGGGUAGAAAGCCUGACGCAGCAACGCCGCGUGGGGGAUGACGGCUUUCGAGUUGUAAACCCCUUUUCUUGGGGAAGAUAAUGACGGUACCCGAGGAAUAAGUCUCGGCUAACUACGUGCCAGCCGCCGC